UACGUAGGUGGCAAGCGUUGUCCGGAAUUAUUGGGCGUAAAGCGCGCGCAGGCGGUCCUUUAAGUCUGAUGUGAAAGCCCACGGCUCAACCGUGGAGGGUCAUUGGAAACUGGGGGACUUGAGUACAGAAGAGAAGAGUGGAAUUCCUAGUGUAGCGGUGAAAUGCGUAGAGAUUAGGAAGAACACCAGUGGCGAAGGCGACUUACUGGACUGUAACUGACGCUGAGGCAUGAAAGCGUGGGGAGCAAACAGG
rnacentral:rRNA from 1 species